GCGGCGUGCUUAACACAUGCAAGUCGAACGAUGAAGGCGGGAGCUUGCUCCUGCUGGAUUAGUGGCGAACGGGUGAGUAACACGUGAGUAACCUGCCCUUGACUCUGGGAUAAGCGUUGGAAACGACGUCUAAUACCGGAUACGAGCUAGGACCGCAUGGUCACUAGCUGGAAAGAAUUUUGGUCAAGGAUGGACUCGCGGCCUAUCAGCUAGUUGGUGAGGUAAUGGCCCACCAAGGCGACGACGGGUAGCCGGCCUGAGAGGGUGACCGGCCACACUGGGACUGAGACACGGCCCAGACUCCUACGGGAGGCAGCAGUGGGGAAUAUUGCACAAUGGGCGCAAGCCUGAUGCAGCAACGCCGCGUGAGGGACGACGGCCUUCGGGUUGUAAACCUCUUUUAGCAGGGAAGAAGCGAAAGUGACGGUACCUGCAGAAAAAGCACCGGCUAACUACGUGCCAGCAGCCGCGGAUAAUACGUAGGGUGCAAGCGUUGUCCAGAAUUAUUGGGCGUAAAGAGCUCGUAGGCGGUUUGUCCCGUCUGCUGUGAAAAUCCGAGGCUCAACCUCGGACCUGCAGUGGGUACGGGCAAACUAGAGUGCGGUAGGGGAGAUUGGAAUUCCUGGUGUAGCGGUGGAAUGCGCAAAUAUCAGGAGGAACACCAAUGGCAAAGGCAUAUCUCUGGGCCGUAA
rnacentral:rRNA from 1 species